rnacentral:rRNA from 1 species
AGCGUACACGGUGGAUGCCCUGGCAGUCAGAGGCGAUGAAGGACGUGCUAAUCUGCGAUAAGCGUCGGUAAGGUGAUAUGAACCGUUAUAACCGGCGAUUUCCGAAUGGGGAAACCCAGUGUGUUUCGACACACUAUCAUUAACUGAAUCCAUAGGUUAAUGAGGCGAACCGGGGGAACUGAAACAUCUAAGUACCCCGAGGAAAAGAAAUCAACCGAGAUUCCCCCAGUAGCGGCGAGCGAACGGGGAGCAGCCCAGAGCCUGAAUCAGUGUGUGUGUUAGUGGAAGCGUCUGGAAAGGCGCGCGAUACAGGGUGACAGCCCCGUACACAAAAAUGCACAUGCUGUGAGCUCGAUGAGUAGGGCGGGACACGUGGUAUCCUGUCUGAAUAUGGGGGGACCAUCCUCCAAGGCUAAAUACUCCUGACUGACCGAUAGUGAACCAGUACCGUGAGGGAAAGGCGAAAAGAACCCCGGCGAGGGGAGUGAAAAAGAACCUGAAACCGUGUACGUACAAGCAGUGGGAGCCUCUUUAUGGGGUGACUGCGUACCUUUUGUAUAAUGGGUCAGCGACUUAUAUUCUGUAGCAAGGUUAACCGAAUAGGGGAGCCGAAGGGAAACCGAGUCUUAACUGGGCGUUAAGUUGCAGGGUAUAGACCCGAAACCCGGUGAUCUAGCCAUGGGCAGGUUGAAGGUUGGGUAACACUAACUGGAGGACCGAACCGACUAAUGUUGAAAAAUUAGCGGAUGACUUGUGGCUGGGGGUGAAAGGCCAAUCAAACCGGGAGAUAGCUGGUUCUCCCCGAAAGCUAUUUAGGUAGCGCCUCGUGAACUCAUCUCCGGGGGUAGAGCACUGUUUCGGCAAGGGGGUCAUCCCGACUUACCAACCCGAUGCAAACUGCGAAUACCGGAGAAUGUUAUCACGGGAGACACACGGCGGGUGCUAACGUCCGUCGUGAAGAGGGAAACAACCCAGACCGCCAGCUAAGGUCCCAAAGUCAUGGUUAAGUGGGAAACGAUGUGGGAAGGCCCAGACAGCCAGGAUGUUGGCUUAGAAGCAGCCAUCAUUUAAAGAAAGCGUAAUAGCUCACUGGUCGAGUCGGCCUGCGCGGAAGAUGUAACGGGGCUAAACCAUGCACCGAAGCUGCGGCAGCGACACUAUGUGUUGUUGGGUAGGGGAGCGUUCUGUAAGCCUGUGAAGGUGUACUGUGAGGUAUGCUGGAGGUAUCAGAAGUGCGAAUGCUGACAUAAGUAACGAUAAAGCGGGUGAAAAGCCCGCUCGCCGGAAGACCAAGGGUUCCUGUCCAACGUUAAUCGGGGCAGGGUGAGUCGACCCCUAAGGCGAGGCCGAAAGGCGUAGUCGAUGGGAAACAGGUUAAUAUUCCUGUACUUGGUGUUACUGCGAAGGGGGGACGGAGAAGGCUAUGUUGGCCGGGCGACGGUUGUCCCGGUUUAAGCGUGUAGGCUGGUUUUCCAGGCAAAUCCGGAAAAUCAAGGCUGAGGCGUGAUGACGAGGCACUACGGUGCUGAAGCAACAAAUGCCCUGCUUCCAGGAAAAGCCUCUAAGCAUCAGGUAACAUCAAAUCGUACCCCAAACCGACACAGGUGGUCAGGUAGAGAAUACCAAGGCGCUUGAGAGAACUCGGGUGAAGGAACUAGGCAAAAUGGUGCCGUAACUUCGGGAGAAGGCACGCUGAUAUGUAGGUGAAGUCCCUCGCGGAUGGAGCUGAAAUCAGUCGAAGAUACCAGCUGGCUGCAACUGUUUAUUAAAAACACAGCACUGUGCAAACACGAAAGUGGACGUAUACGGUGUGACGCCUGCCCGGUGCCGGAAGGUUAAUUGAUGGGGUCAGCGCAAGCGAAGCUCUUGAUCGAAGCCCCGGUAAACGGCGGCCGUAACUAUAACGGUCCUAAGGUAGCGAAAUUCCUUGUCGGGUAAGUUCCGACCUGCACGAAUGGCGUAAUGAUGGCCAGGCUGUCUCCACCCGAGACUCAGUGAAAUUGAACUCGCUGUGAAGAUGCAGUGUACCCGCGGCAAGACGGAAAGACCCCGUGAACCUUUACUAUAGCUUGACACUGAACAUUGAGCCUUGAUGUGUAGGAUAGGUGGGAGGCUUGGAAGUGUGGACGCCAGUCUGCAUGGAGCCGACCUUGAAAUACCACCCUUUAAUGUUUGAUGUUCUAACGUUGACCCGUAAUCCGGGUUGCGGACAGUGUCUGGUGGGUAGUUUGACUGGGGCGGUCUCCUCCUAAAGAGUAACGGAGGAGCACGAAGGUUGGCUAAUCCUGGUCGGACAUCAGGAGGUUAGUGCAAUGGCAUAAGCCAGCUUGACUGCGAGCGUGACGGCGCGAGCAGGUGCGAAAGCAGGUCAUAGUGAUCCGGUGGUUCUGAAUGGAAGGGCCAUCGCUCAACGGAUAAAAGGUACUCCGGGGAUAACAGGCUGAUACCGCCCAAGAGUUCAUAUCGACGGCGGUGUUUGGCACCUCGAUGUCGGCUCAUCACAUCCUGGGGCUGAAGUAGGUCCCAAGGGUAUGGCUGUUCGCCAUUUAAAGUGGUACGCGAGCUGGGUUUAGAACGUCGUGAGACAGUUCGGUCCCUAUCUGCCGUGGGCGCUGGAGAACUGAGGGGGGCUGCUCCUAGUACGAGAGGACCGGAGUGGACGCAUCACUGGUGUUCGGGUUGUCAUGCCAAUGGCACUGCCCGGUAGCUAAAUGCGGAAGAGAUAAGUGCUGAAAGCAUCUAAGCACGAAACUUGCCCCGAGAUGAGUUCUCCCUGACUCCUUGA